rnacentral:misc_RNA from 1 species
GUAGGUGAACCUGCGGAAGGAUCAUUACAAAAAAUAGAGUUGCUUUUUUUAGCUUCUCUGCUCGAAGAGGAAAUUUUGGAGGUCGCAAGACCACCGAAAAAUCCGACUUGAGAAAUCUUUUGUGCACCGUAAAUUCGCGUUUUAUAUUCGUCUGAUGUACUUUUUACAGUUUUCGUGAAAUUCCAUUUUUUUUGGAAAUUUGCAAGAAAGAAAACAAUAAAAAAUAACUUUUAACAACGGAUCUCUUGGCUCUC